rnacentral:ncRNA from 1 species
UAAAAGGCAUGGAAGGGAAGAAGUAACUUAAGGAAAGCCUACAGAGAGCAGCCGGCAGGUGAGAGGCGCAGGGUGGAACUUCUGUGAAUACAUCCCGGAGCUGCGUACCGAAUCUGGCUUUACAGAUAGGCUGCGACGGAAUAGCACCCGUUAUUGUGCUGAAGUGAUUUUAUAUCGUAUUAUAUUGGAUAUAACAGGAUAUAGAUUCACUUUAUGAGGCAGGAAAUGCGAGUUUUCUGUAAAUUUAGGUGGUAACGCGGGACCCGGUUCUCGUCCUAAAC